rnacentral:rRNA from 1 species
UACGGGGGGGGGCAAGCGUUUGUUCGGAAUUACUGGGCGUAAAGGGCGCGUAGGCGGCCUUCUAAGUCAGACGUGAAAUCCCCCGGCUUAACCUGGGAACUGCGUCUGAUACUGGAUGGCUUGGAUUUGGGAGAGGGAUGCGGAAUUCCAGGUGUAGCGGUGAAAUGCGUAGAUAUCUGGAGGAACACCGGUGGCGAAGGCGGCAUCCUGGACCAAUAU